GGGGGGAGGCGUCUUGAUUCACGGCCACGGGAAAUAAUGGGGAAGAUCAUAAAACAGGGGGAAAACCCGUCCGAGGGAAUCUGAAUGGAUGGAGCCGGUGAGACGUCACGACCAGCCGCAGCCAUGAAGACCGUGCGGUCCAGCCUCCCGCAGCUCAGUUGCCCUGCAUCUCCCGAGCCGCUCACGCCACGGGUUUGAAGAGCGGACGCCGCGACGACUCACAGGCGACGGCGUCAGAGCGUGGCCCAUGCUACUCCGCCAGCAGCUUGAGAGGAUGGGUAGCCUUAGGGGUUGGCUGUUAUCUUUGGUUAUCUAGCUGUAUGAGUGAUGUACAUUCUUCAUAAAGCUAGAUAACCGAAAGUAACAAGAAUCCCAUUACACUCCUGAAGAAGGCAUCAAGACCCCAUUAGUACCCCCACCCCCACUCCCCACUAACUCAACAAGAACAGCAACAGAAGUGAAGAAAAUGGACAACAUUUAUAGGACAUGUCAGCGAAAUGCAGCAAAAGACUACAAGACCCCUGAAGGAGAGCUGGCAAAAAGAGACUGAAAAACAGAGAAGAAAGAGGAGGAGGGGUUGCUGUUGAUUCUGCCCUCGCUCUCUCCUCGCCCUCCUCUGCAUCGUCUCUUCCCUCCUCCUCCCCCAUUCUUCUUCCUCUGCUCCAUCCUCAGCAGACUGCCCUUUUUUCCUGUACGGCAAAACGAAGCCUGCGCCACCAUCUUAGAGCAAUGCUGGCAUGAAAUGGAAGUGGGAAGAACAGCAAGUGCAGGUGAGUGCCAUCGGUGCUGGAGGAUCCGACCCAGGCAGUGGAGGAACAGCGGGACUCCUCCUUCAGCUGCCGAUUGCCACCUUCCAGCCCGGCAUAAACAAGGGCGAUGAUGUCUGCGCACGACUCGGCGCCCAUUCCUUGCUGUCACCUUUGAGCAUUGCCGUGGUGAUGUCUUUGAUGCGGCUGUGCGAUGCAUUAUUUGACCAGACAGGCUGGACUGAUUGUGAAUGCAAUCAUCGCGGUGGAGUGUGGGAAGCGACUUUCAGACAGAAGAUCGGCGGCUCGAGGAUUGUGACUCCUCUUUUUGUAUUUUGGGAGUGUGGCAUUGAAUUUUGUCAUUUAUAUUGUUAUAUAUUCACUUACUUCACUAAGAAAAAAUAUGUGUUCAACUUAAAUAGGCUCCACUUACUGCAGGUCACACUAGAUGAGCUGUAGCCCACGUUGUGUUUGAUUUGUUAUUGCUUUAGUUGCUAUGACUUUAAGACACGUGAAUGUGAGACCCACGGCAGCAGUGAAUAAUACUGCACUGCGAUUGGACAGCUCCAUGUGUCGGCUGACACAAUGGCGAAGGAGUGAGCUGUCGUCUUUAUACUCUAUGCAACUGUUCAAUUGUGUUUCAUCUUGAAUCCCAGUUGAGCUUCUUCUAUCUUUAUUUAUUUUUUAUGUUUAGCGGCUGUAGUUUAUAGACAUUCCUUCAGACGUCAUCAGGAGAAAUGUUUUUUGAGGAGCCUGCAUUCCCGAUGUCAAUACACUGAUACAGAAAGUUACCGUCAGAGUGUGAGUGUCAGUGUGGGACAGAUGACAGAAUGUAGCUCAGUUUCAUCACUGGAUGUAUUGAAUCUCAUAUUUGCAGCCACAACAGACUGUGCAGCCAUAAGCCACAGUCUGAGUAAAUGUGGACGCACACAUUUAAUAUUCCUGGUGGCAGAAGUGUAUUUGAUCAGCAGGGAGCAGCUGAGCAGAGUUGUGGUUCUGUGUAUACAGAACACACCACACUAUUAAAACCUUCCCAGUAGGCUUUGAAGCGCAGCGGUUUGGUUCAUAGCAGUUACCUGCUUCGCUGUAUUGACACAUCUUUGGGUGAGACACGACAGAUACAUCGGCUUUGCACACUGCCUUAAUUUCCGGUCCUUGACAUUGACACACACACACACACACACACUCACCCAAAUGCAAUAAAGCAAGUGCUAUCGCAGCCUAAUUCAUUCUAUAUUAAUUUUUCAGGAAGUGGCAAUUUUUUUCUUAUUACAAUUGAUAAUCUAUGCAAAUCUUUUAAAUAUUACUUUAAACAAUCUGUGUCUAUGCAGUGCUUUUGCAAUUGAUUCAAGGGAGACUAUCUUGGUCUAAUUUAGAAAAUGUAUUCUUUUGAUAAUCAUGCACAUCCCAGUGCUCAAGACAAUUACUUAUCUGCCUGGAUAAGCUUGAAAUUAUUUUUUUUAAUUUCUAGCAAAAAAUAGGAGUCACUCUUCUGAUAUCAGUCCAGUGGCAUGAAAACCAUAAUUUGUGGUCUAAAAUAAUUAUAUUUGUUGCACUAAAUCUUUUAUUCCCCUCAAAUGCAUCAGAUGCGUCAUAGCUUAUUCUUUUAUAUAAGCAGCAUUGUUUGUGUUAUGCAGUGUAAUCACUGUGUAUACGUAUUCACCACAUGUGCCUUUCUAUGGAAAACUGUGUUGGAAUAGUAAUAAAGGUUUACAUUGAAAACAGUGAAA